AUGUGGUUAAGUUACUAAGGGCACACGGUGGAUGCCUUGGCGCUAGGAGCCGAAGAAGGACGCAGCGAACUGCGAUAAGCCUCGGGGAGCGGUAAGCACGCUUUGAUCCGGGGAUCUCCGAAUGGGGCAACCCACCAUCUGUAAUGGGAUGGUAUCCUUCACUGAAUACAUAGGUGAUGAGAAGGCAGACCCGGUGAACUGAAACAUCUAAGUAGCCGGAGGAAGAGAAAACAAUAGUGAUUCCGU
rnacentral:rRNA from 1 species